rnacentral:tRNA from 1 species
GGAGGGAUGGCUCAGUGGUAAAGAGCACUGGCUGCUAUUCCAGAGGACUGGGGUUCAAUUCCCAGCACCUACA